rnacentral:lncRNA from 1 species
CCGCGCAUUUGGUUUUCAUUGCAAUUUAGUCCAUUGUUGCGCUGCGUUUUGAGGAAUGCGGGAUAAUUGCAUUUUUGGCCCUCCCUUGUUUCGCGCGCAUUCGAAUGGGUCCCUUUCUUCUUUUUGUUUUUAUUUUUAUUAAAAUUGGCCCCAUUUAUUUUAGUUUUUAUUCAAUUUGGUCCGUUUUUUCUCUUUUCUUUUUUAAAUACCAUUGUUAUUGUAUUAUUUAUUAUUGCUUAUUACUAUUAUUAUUUCUAUACUCAUUCGCAUGGUUCUUAUAUAAUAUAUAUAUACUUUUAUAUAUAGAAUACAUGCAUAGUUUUUAAUAUAUAUAUAUAUAUAUAUGUAGGUACGUUUUUA